rnacentral:rRNA from 1 species
AUCCACAGCCAUAUCACCCUGCAGCCCAAGACCGGUUACUCACUGAAGCCAAGCAGGGUUGAGCCUGGUCAUUACCUGGAUGGGAAACCACAUGAGAAAACUAGGUUGCUGUUGGAA